GGCACCAUAGCCAAAUGGCCAAGGCUGAGGUUUGCAAAACCUUGAAUGCCGGUUCGAAUCCGGUUGGUGCCU